GAUGAACGCUGGCGGCGUGCUUAACACAUGCAAGUCGAACGGUGAAGCAGGAGCUUGCUCUUGUGGAUCAGUGGCGAACGGGUGAGUAACACGUGAGCAACCUGCCCCUGACUCUGGGAUAAGCGCUGGAAACGGCGUCUAAUACUGGAUAUGUGAUGUGACCGCAUGGUCUGCAUCUGGAAAGAAUUUCGGUUGGGGAUGGGCUCGCGGCCUAUCAGCUUGUUGGUGAGGUAAUGGCUCACCAAGGCGUCGACGGGUAGCCGGCCUGAGAGGGUGACCAGGCACACUGGGACUGAGACACGGCCCAGACUCCUACGGGAGGCAGCAGUGGGGAAUAUUGCACAAUGGGCGGAAGCCUGAUUCAGCAACGCCGCGUGAGGGAUGACGGCCUUCGGGUUGUAAACCUCUUUUAGCAGGGAAGAAGCGAAAGUGACGGUACCUGCAGAAAAAGCACCGGCUAACUACGUGCCAGCCGCCGCCGUAA
rnacentral:rRNA from 1 species